CAAACUAUACUUUCAGGGGGUCAUUUCUUUAGUUGCUGAUUUGAGAAAUGUGUUUCUAAAGAAUUUGGUCUUGCUGUCCAUGAUGAAGAGUUUUGAUGUUUCCUUAAGAGCAGGAAGCUAGUUGAAGACUUUGCUUGUUCUCCACUGUUGAAGAUGGUUUAGAGUUUCUCUGAGAUGCUCUGAUGGAUGAAACAUGAUCUGAGUGGA